rnacentral:rRNA from 1 species
AGAGUUUGAUCCUGGCUCAGGACGAACGCUGGCGGCGUGCCUAAUACAUGCAAGUAGAACGCUGAAGAGAGGAGCUUGCUCUUCUUGGAUGAGUUGCGAACGGGUGAGUAACGCGUAGGUAACCUGCCUUGUAGCGGGGGAUAACUAUUGGAAACGAUAGCUAAUACCGCAUAACAAUGGAUGACACAUGUCAUUUAUUUGAAAGGGGCAAUUGCUCCACUACAAGAUGGACCUGCGUUGUAUUAGCUAGUAGGUGAGGUAACGGCUCACCUAGGCGACGAUACAUAGCCGACCUGAGAGGGUGAUCGGCCACACUGGGACUGAGACACGGCCCAGACUCCUACGGGAGGCAGCAGUAGGGAAUCUUCGGCAAUGGGGGCAACCCUGACCGAGCAACGCCGCGUGAGUGAAGAAGGUUUUCGGAUCGUAAAGCUCUGUUGUAAGUCAAGAACGAGUGUGAGAGUGGAAAGUUCACACUGUGACGGUAGCUUACC